CAACCGGUUCGGAAACGGCCUUAAGGGUCGGUAAUGGCAGUUGGCCGGUGGCUCGUCUCGUGCGGGUCGUCGGUUGUUAGCCGUCCGAUCUUGGCUCGUGGCCGGACCGUGGUGUCGCGAGGCCUUUAUAGGCUUCUUCGCCUCCUCCGUUCGCGGACGCCGGGAUCCCGUGGCAGGGGUUCGCACUUCUGCGGGCGCACGGACCGACUCCGUGGCCCAGCGGUCGCAUGCGGCUUCGUUGGCUGCGGUGAACCCGUCGGAGGUUGGCGGUUAGCGGGGAGUAGAUCGGUCACCCACCCGACCCGUCUUGAAACACGGACCAAGGAGUCUAACAUGUGUGCGAGUCAAUGGGUCUCGAAUAAGCCCAGAGGCGCAAUGAAAGCAAAGGCAGGACUCGACGCCUGCCGAGUUGGGAUCCUCCUUCCUUCGCGUGGGAGGCGCACCAACGACCCGUCCUGUCCCAUUUAUGGGUUGGGCGGAGUU
rnacentral:rRNA from 1 species